UGACUGAGCGGCGGACGGGUGAGUAACGCGUGGGUAACCUGCCUCAUACAGGGGGAUAACAGUUAGAAAUGACUGCUAAUACCGCAUAAGACCACAGCACCGCAUGGUGCAGAGGUAAAAACUCCGGUGGUAUGAGAUGGACCCGCGUCUGAUUAGCUGGUUGGUGGGGUAACGGCCUACCAAGGCGACGAUCAGUAGCCGGCCUGAGAGGGCGACCGGCCACAUUGGGACUGAGACACGGCCCAAACUCCUACGGGAGGCAGCAGUGGGGAAUAUUGCACAAUGGGGGAAACCCUGAUGCAGCGACGCCGCGUGAAGGAAGAAGUAUUUCGGUAUGUAAACUUCUAUCAGCAGGGAAGAAAAUGACGGUACCUGACUAAGAAGCCCCGGCUAACUACGUGCCAGCAGCCGCGGUAAUACGUAGGGGGCAAGCGUUAUCCGGAUUUACUGGGUGUAAAGGGAGCGUAGACGGAGAGGCAAGUCUGAUGUGAAAACCCGGGGCUCAACCCCGGGACUGCAUUGGAAACUGUUUUUCUAGAGUGUCGGAGAGGUAAGCGGAAUUCCUAGUGUAGCGGUGAAAUGCGUAAAUAUUAGGAGGAACACCAGUGGCGAAGGCGGCUUACUGGACGAUGACUGACGUUGAGGCUCGAAAGCGUGGGGAGCAAACAGG
rnacentral:rRNA from 1 species